CAUGCUGCAAACCGUGGGAUCCACCCCUGCACCCUCUUGCUUGUCCACUCAGCGGUGCCCUGGGCUGCCUCUUCCCCAGGGCUGCACCUGUACACCUCCAGGAUGCAGACGCACUGCCUACCCUGGCACCGUGUGGGUGAGACCAGAGCAGAAUGAAGAUGGAGGGAACAAUGGGAGGAACACCUUGGAUGUGAAAUCUAAAAUCAAUUCCCACGGUGCUUCAGCCACGUCAAGCUGGACAACUACAUCUGCUGGGACCAACGACAGGAGGAGCAGGGACAACGACCAAGGACAUCACCAGGUAGACAUCGUGUUGCUAUGUGAAGAUGACCUGGUAGUAGUCACCUUCACUUAUUCCCAGAUUUGAGAGACAAGCAAGUCUGUUACAUCUCCAGUUCCUGCCACAGGUACUUUCAGUUGAAACUUGACGCCCCAGGGAUGGGAAACCCAGUAGUGACACAGAAACUGGAUUAGACAUUCAAAGACCUCAGUCCCAGUUUCCCAACUUAAAAUAGCUUUUUAAAUGUUUCUUAACAUUUAGGGCCUCGUUUUUCUCAUUUUCAAAGUGAGGAUAUAACAUUUUUCACAGGGAGUUGUUCAACACAAUUACGAAUGAACAAACUAUAGAACACCAUUCAAACACGUUAUUAAAUAUAACCUCUCUAGAAAUGUCCCUUUAAAAACAGUACCUUCCCUAUUAAAUAAAUGGUGCUGGGAAAACUGGCUAGCCAUAUGUAGAAAGCGGAAACUGGAUCCCUUCCUUACACCUUAUACAAAAAUUAAUUCAAGAUGGAUUAAAGACUCAAAUGUUACACCUAAAACCAUAAAAACCCUACAAGAAAACCUAGGCAAUACCAUUCAGGACAUAGGCAUGGGCAAGGACUUCAUGUCUAAAACACCAAAAGCAAUGGCAACAAAAGCCAAAAUUGACAAAUGGGAUCUAAUUAAACUAAAGAGCUUCUGCACAGCAAAAGAAACUACCAUCAGAGUGAACAGGCAACCUAUGGAAUGGGAGAAAAUUUUUGCAACCUACUCAUCUGACAAGGGGCUAAUAUCUAGAAUCUACAAUGAACUCAAACAAAUUUACAAGAAAAAAACAAACAACCCCAUCAAAAAGUGGGCAAAGGACAUGAACAGACACUUCUCAAAAGAAGACAUUUAUGCAGCCAAAAAACACAUGACAAAAUGCUCAUCAUCACUGGCCAUCAGAGAAAUGCAAAUCAAAACCACAAUGAGAUACCAUCUCACACCAGUUAGAAUGGCCAUCAUUAAAAAGUCAGGAAACAACAGGUGCUGGAGAGGAUGUGGAGAAAUAGGAACACUUUGACACUGUUGGUGGGACUGUAAACUUGUUCAACCAUUGUGGAAGUCAGUGUGGCGAUUCCUCAGGGAUCUAGAACUAGAAAUACCAUUUGACCCAGCCAUCCCAUUACUGGGUAUAUACCCAAAGGACUAUAAAUCGUGCUGCUAUAAAGACACAUGCACACGUAUGUUUAUUGCGGCACUAUUCACAAUAGCAAAGGCUUGGAACCAACCCAAAUGUCCAACAACGAUAGACUGGAUUAAGAAAAUGUGGCAUAUACACACCAUGGAAUACUAUGCAGCCAUAAAAAAUGAGGAGUUCAUGUCCUUUGUAGGGACAUGGAUGAAACUGGAAAACGUCAUUCUCAGUCAACUAUCGCAAGGACAAAAAACCAAACACCGCAUGUUCUCACUCAUAGGUGGGAAUUGAACAAUGAGAACUCACGGACACAGGAAGGGGAACAUCACACUCCGGGGACUGUUGUGGGGUGUGGGGAGGGGGGAGGGACAGCAUUAGGAGAUAUACCUAAUGCUAAAUGACGAGUUAAUGGGUGCAGCAAACCAACAUGGCACAUGGAUACAUAUGUAACAAACCUGCACAUUGUGCACAUGUACCCUAAAACCUAAAGUAUAAAAAAAAAAAAAAAAAGAAAUGAGACUCAGCAGGGAGGAAGGUAAAAAAAAUAAAUAAAUAAAAAAUAAAAACAGUACCUGUAAUUUGACUAUCAAAUUUUUAAAAUUAUUAUUAUUGAAGCAACAGAAAAAGAUUAUAGAAAUUUCAGAGACAUAAGGGUAUAGUCAAGGUAGAGACUCUUGGAUCUUGCAGAAAUGACAGAAUUCUAUUUCCAGCUUGUUUGUCCAACCUAGACAUCGGUUUUUUCCUAUAUGGUUUAAUUUCCUACCACAUUUCCUGCCCUUCAUUCAUCCAAACGUUACAUGUAAGAAUGGGAACAGGCAGAAUUUCAAUAACCAACUACAUAGUACUAUAUUGUCCAAAUCACUGAACAAACAAGAUUCUCUUGUUAGAAAGUUGCUUUGUUAUGAAAUGUUUACUAUAGUGUAUCUAUAUUCAAAAUAGAUUAGGGGAUAUUUAUUGAGCACCUCCUAUGUACCUGGCUUUGGAGAUGUAGCAGCCAACAAGAGUUGAGGCCGCUGCUUUCAAGGGGUUUACAUUCCAGUGAGGGAAAAGGGAAGAGGCAACGAACACAUACAGAAGUCAACAAGAUGAAGAUGAUCAACAAUAAAAGAAAUGAAGAGCAUGCUGAUUAGAUUAGAAAUGGAUACGAUUCACUUUAGAUAAGCAAGGGGGCGCUACUCCAAAGACUAAGCAUGGGAUCAAGACCUGAAAGGUAAGAAAAGAGCAUGCAAACAGCUUGCGGAGUAAUCGGCAAGUUCAGCCCAAAGGCAAGGAAAAACCCAGACUCUAGCUGGGCCAUGGUGAGCAGAAGGAGGAGUGCUACGAGAUGAGGGUGGAGACGAAACAGGCCUCCAAUCAUGUUGCAUCCUGUAUGCUGUGGUAACAGGAGCCGUGGGUGUGAUCAAAGGGUAUUCAAUAGGAAAACAACUUGAUUUUGUUUUCAAAAGUAUUAAAUUUGAGAUUAUUUUGUGAACAUUGGGGAGGGGAGCACUAAAAAUGUCUCUAAAUAGGGCAGUAGCAUGAGUUAUGCUUUACAAAGACUGGGUUGGUAAGACUGUGCAAGACAAACUGAAAGAGGAAGAUGACAUUGGAAGCUGAGAUUCUAUAAGUUGGUGCAAAAGUAACUGUGGUUUUUGCCACUGACCAGCUAUCACAGUCAAAAUGUAAAAGGUGCCCAAAUUGCAAGGGUGGCAAUGGCAAUGAAGAGAAAAGGAUAAAAGCGUGAGAUACCACACCGGUGUGAUGGACAGGAUUUGGUGCUGACCGGAGCAAAAGAGGGAGAAGCCAGAGCUGCGGAGGGUCAUUUCAGCCUAGCCAGAACAAAUGCUGCCACAGGAAGACAUACUAGGCAUAAAGGUGAGGCCCAGAAACCAGGAGGACAGUGUGUUCCAUUUAAGCCAUGACACCACUUUCUUCUCUCCUUCUGAGUCCACCCUGUUACUUCCAAGGCUGCACACCAGUACCAUUAGUGACCCUGAGCCAUACACCAAACCAACUGAAGAAGGAUAUAGAGGGUUGUUUUUUUUUUUAAUUCCAUUGGUAAUUCUGAUGUGCAGCCAGGGCCAAAACUCACUGGGCCAGGCAGAGCAUGGAAACUAGAUUAAUUAGAUUUCGUAUAUUUUUGGAGAUGGAGGAUUACUUUGGUCAUUUUCCUUCUGCUUGAAGAACAGUCUUAGUACUCCCUUUGUGGAGCUCUGCUGGUGACAAAUUCUCCUACUUUUUGUUUACUUAAAAUGUCUCUCUUUUUUUUUUUUUUUUUUUUUUUGAGAUGGAGUCUCGCUGUCGCCCAGGCUGGAGUGCAGUGGCGCGAUCUCG